CAUCGCACUGUGGUAAGCCCAUAGAACUGAAUUAAAUGUUACUUGUGACAUUUCGAUAAAGUUUUACACAAAAAAAAAAGAAACCGCUGUGAUGUGUAUU